CAAAAUGAUACGUCAGAAAACAGCAAUCUCAGAGGAUACCUGGAACUAUGCGCAUGUGGUGCCAAAUGACAAGAUGCAAACCACAACAUUCAGGCCAAGUCCACCGAUUCCCACUGUCUAAGGAAGCUGAACAAUUUGGGAAGAUAUGGGGUGGACAUGUUUUCUUUAGUGCUGGCUCAAAUAAGAGCAGGGGAGUCAUUACACUGUGAGCAUGGGGAGAGCGGCAUAUAAGCGGCCAUGCUACCAGCAGAGAGGGAGAGAGAAUCUGGCACAAGAAAGCCCACGGUGCUCGAGAAGCUGUUGUGUUUACCCUAUUGUGUUUGUGAAGCUAAUGUGUUUAAGUGACUACGUGCCUGUGAAGCUGAUGAGUUUGUGAAGUUGUAAAGUAUUGAGGUGGCCGAUUAAAAAAGCCUUACCUGAGCCCAGAACCCAAUUCCCUGUGUCCUCCUUCCCUUCUGCUGUGAAGUUGUGUUACAGAGGUUAACACACUCGGUGAUCUACAUGAUAGUGGAGUGUUGAGAUCCUUUGAAAAUAUGGUUCAACAUUUUAGGAUUCCCAGAUCUCAGUUCUUUAGGUAUUUACAGCUGCGCCACCUGCUCUGUACUAUUUUUGGGAGUAGCAUACACCCGCCUAAAGUGGCAGAUACUCUGGCAGUGGUGAUUACUGCUUUUGGAAAAGGUCAUGAGGCAUCAGUGUAUUACUCCCUGCUAAUUCAGAGUCUGGUGGACGGAGCUUCAACUUCUCUCAAGAGAUUAUGGGAGAAAGAUUUAAACUUGGUAUUGGAGGAGAGAGUGUGAGCUAGGAUUCUAAAAAAUGUCAAGUCUACAUCUAGAGAUGCAAGGAUGCGCCUUAAGCAAUUUAUGAUUUUACAUCGAUUCUGUUGGACCCCCUCUAGAUUGUAUAGGCUUGGUCUUAAAGACACACCCAACUGCUGGCGAUGCCAAUCAGAAGAUGGGGACACAACCCAUGUUUUUUGGUGGUGUGUUAAGAUCCAAUAAUUUUGGUUAAGGGUUCAGAGUUUUAUGUGUGACGUAUUGGAGACUAAAUUUUCAUUUUGCCCCAGACUUUGUAUCAUUAAUAUAGGGGAUAGAUAUAUAAAAAUUGGGUCCUAGCCAGAGUUAUGAUCAGCAGACGGAUCAGUCUUAAGGGAUGGAGGUCGGCUGGAGCACCUUCAUUUCAGGAGUGGUGCACAGAGAUGGGCGGGUGGCGGCAUUCGAGGAGGUGAUAUAUAGGAGGCUGGGAAAAUGGGAUUUGUUUACUAGGAAGUGGGGUUUGGGCCUGGGUAGCUCAGCGAGUAAAGACGCUGACUACCACCCCUGGAGUGGUGAGUUUGAAUCCAGGGCAUUCUGAGUGACUUCAGACAGAUCUCCUAAGCAACCAAAUUGGCCCGGUUUCUAGGUAGGGUAGAGUCACAUGGGGUAACCUCCUCUUGGUCGCUAUAAUGUGGUUCGCUCUCGGUGGGUCACAUGGUGAGUUGUGCGUGGAUGCCGCGGAGAAUAGCGUGUAGCCUCCACACGCACUAUGUUUCCACGGUAAUGUGCUCAACAAGCUACAUGAUAAGAUGUGCGGAUUGACAGUCUCAGACGCGGAGGCAACUGAGAUUCAUUCUCCGCCACCCAGAUUGAGGCAAGUCACUACGCCACCACGAGGAUUUAGAGCACAUUGGGAAUUGGACAUUCCAAAUUGGGAAGAAAAGGGGAGAAAAAAAUAUAUAUAGUGGAUAAAUACAUGAAAAAUUCGGUCCUAGCCUUGUUAUGGCUGGCAGACAAAUCAUUCUUAGGGUAUGGAGGUUAGCUGGAGCUCCCUCGUUUUAAGAGUAGCACACAGAGAUGGGCAGGGUGGCGGCAUUUGAGGGAAUGUCAUAUAGAAGGCAAGGUAGUAUGGAUUUGUUUAAUAAAAAAUGGGGCAACUAUUUGUUCUCUGGGAGGGGCAGUGAAGAGAGAUUUGUAGUUUUAAAUGUAUGAUUUUAUUUUUUAUCUAUUCUUAAGUGUUUUCUCUUGUCUGUUUUGAAUUUUUUUUUUUUUUUUGUAUACUUCCAUUUUGUGUUA